rnacentral:lncRNA from 1 species
UGAGGGAAAUGAAGAAUACUGGAGACCAGUCCUGAGUCAUUCACCAGAGGCCAAAUGGAAGUUUGAUCCAGUGUUGAUGCGUGCUUCAGCAACCCUACUCUUGCUUACUCAGCAGGAAAAGAAAGUCUGUCAAGAUCUUAUUGAAUACAGACUGUAUCAUCAAGAGGGAAAGAAGUUGCAGUUAGGUGGAAGAUAAAGUACAAGUCCCCUUUGAAGAACUAACUUGGGAUGGUUCUGAAUUGUUGGGAAGAGAAUACAAUCUUGUGGAAAU